rnacentral:rRNA from 1 species
AGUGGCGGACGGGUGAGUAACGCGUGAGAAUCUACCUUCAGGACGGGGACAACAACUGGAAACGGCUGCUAAUACCCGAUAUGCCGAAAGGUGAAAAGUUAUUUCGCCUGGAGAGGAGCUCGCGUCCGAUUAGCUAGUUGGUGGGGUAAAAGCUUACCAAGGCAACGAUCGGUAGCUGGUCUGAGAGGAUGAGCAGCCACACUGGAACUGAGACACGGUCCAGACUCCUACGGGAGGCAGCAGUGGGGAAUUUUCCGCAAUGGGCGAAAGCCUGACGGAGCAACGCCGCGUGGGGGAAGAAGGUUUUUGGAUUGUAAACCCCUUUUCUCAAGGAAGAACAAAAUGACGGUACUUGAGGAAUCAGCCUCGGCUAACUCCGUGCCAGCAGCCGCGGUAAUACGGAGGAGGCAAGCGUUAUCCGGAAUUAUUGGGCGUAAAGCGUUCGUAGGCGGCUGUUCAAGUCUGCUGUCAAAGACCGAGGCUCAACCUCGGGUCGGCAGUGGAAACUGGAUAGCUAGAGGUCGGUAGGGGCAGAGGGAAUUCCCAGUGUAGCGGUGAAAUGCGUAGAUAUUGGGAAGAACACCGGUGGCGAAAGCGCUCUGCUGGGCCGAACCUGACGCUGAGGGACGAAAGCUAGGGGAGCGAAUGGGAUUAGAUACCCC